AUACGGGAGGCAGCAGUGGGGAAUUUUGGACAAUGGGGGCAACCCUGAUCCAGCCAUGCCGCGUGAGUGAAGAAGGCCUUCGGGUUGUAAAGCUCUUUCGGUGGGAACGAAACGGGUGCGGCUAACACCUGCACUUAAUGACGGUACCUACAGAAGAAGCACCGGCUAACUACGUGCCAGCAGCCGCGGUAAUACGUAGGGUGCGAGCGUUAAUCGGAAUUACUGGGCGUAAAGCGUGCGCAGGCGGCGCGUUAAGACAGGUGUGAAAGCCCCGAGCUUAACUUGGGAAUUGCGCUUGUGACUGGCGUGCUGGAGUGUGGCAGAGGGAGGUGGAAUUCCACGUGUAGCAGUGAAAUGCGUAGAGAUGUGGAGGAACACCGAUGGCGAAGGCAGCCUCCUGGGCCAGCACUGACGCUCAUGCACGAAAGCGUGGGGAGCAAACAGGAUUAGAUACCCCGGUAGC
rnacentral:rRNA from 1 species